rnacentral:rRNA from 1 species
UACGGGGGGGGCAAGCGUUGUUCGGAAUUACUGGGCGUAAAGGGCUCGUAGGCGGCGCGGUAAGUCGGGUGUGAAAUUUCGAGGCUUAACUUCGAAACUGCAUUCGAUACUGCCGUGCUUGAGGACUGGAGAGGAGACUGGAAUUUACGGUGUAGCGGUGAAAUGCGUAGAUAUCGUAAGGAAGACCAGUGGCGAAGGCGGGUCUCUGGACAGUUCCUGACGCUGAGGCACGAAGGCCAGGGGAGCAAACGGG